UACGUAGGGUGCGAGCGUUAAUCGGAAUUACUGGGCGUAAAGCGUGCGCAGGCGGUUUUUUAAGACAGGCGUGAAAUCCCCGGGCUUAACCUGGGAACUGCGUUUGUGACUGGAAGGCUAGAGUAUGGCAGAGGGGGGUGGAAUUCCACGUGUAGCAGUGAAAUGCGUAGAGAUGUGGAGGAACACCGAUGGCGAAGGCAGCCCCCUGGGCCAAUACUGACGCCUCAUGCACGAAAGCGUGGGGAGCAAACAGG
rnacentral:rRNA from 1 species